GUCCAGAGCCUCCAGCAGGGUGACGCCGGUGGCACCACCCUCCUUACGCUCGAUUUUCCAACCCUUGAACCAGCCCAUCUGAAAUGGAGAAUGCGGAGACAGAGAGAGGAGGACAGGAAAAGAGGAAAAAGUAAUGGGGGUCAGUUAGGUUGAGAGAGAUGCGGCAGUAAAGACACAGAAAGCGAGUGAAGAGACUGGGACAGUGAGGAAGUGACAGCGAGAUGUUUUCCAGCCUACGAAAGGUGGAGCAAAGAAACCUGGCAGAGACCUAGAGCUACAACAGCAUUGAGAUCGGCCACUGAUGUUGGGCGAUGAGGUUCGGCUCGCAGUCGGCGUCCCAGUUCAUCCCAAAGUUGUUAGAUGGGGUGGAGGUCCGGGCUCUGUGCAGGACAGUCAAGUUCUUCCGCACCAAUGGUGUUGAAAUAGGAAAGGGAGAAACAAACUUCUGGGAGCACACCAUCGCCUGAAGCAUCUCUAAGGGGUCACAGUAUUAACUUGAGGGGCUGCAAGAUGAUUUACAGGAUGGGGACGGAGACAAAACCUUUACAAUGCAUCCAAAUAAAAAAGGAAAACAAAGAUCACGCUUUGGUUGGAGUGGUCACAAUCAGUAGACAUAUGCAACUGGUGACAAGGGACGCAAUUAGACAUGACUUCAUUUUAGGGGGUCACAAGCCAAAAAGUUUGGGACCCACUACAAUAACGUAUAUAAAUAACACUCAAUCUAAAUAAUCUGUUUUCGUGUGAAAAGUUUCAACUCUUCAGCAUCUAAAAACCAUUAAAUUGAAGACGGGAAAUCACUCUUUGAUGAAAAACUCAUGUGAACAUGUAACAAGGGGUUGCAAGUAGACAUUACAUAAUUUUAGUACACAAAAAGUGUCCAUAUACUUUUGGCCACAUAGUAUAGUGGAGAUAGAUCGAUAGAAAAUAUUUUACCUCUACAGUAAAUGGACAUGUACUAUUCAUAUAUUGAUUUAAACACAUUAUGGAUUCUUGUUUGGACCAUAGUUUGCAGUGGGCAGCAGCAGCAGCAGCAGCUCAGUCGUGGUACUUCAGUCGUCUUUAUCUGCCAGUUUUAAGAAACAUGACUUGGUGCCUGCGUGGGUGCAGAAAAAAUGAAGGCUGACAGAUUCUGAUCGAUGCCAACAUUCAGACAAUCCCACGGCACUGGCAUUAAUGUUCAGACAGGCAGAGUUUAAGGUACCUCAAUCUAAAUAACAACGUCGGCACACUGAAUGCAAUUACAGUCUGAGCCGGGGGGGGGGGAACAUUUAAUGCAAAUAAAGCACAUUUG